UAACGUCAAUUCAAAGCGUACGGUACACGGAAAGGGACGUUUCGAAACGUUUUAAACGUUACAUUUAGCAAUAAAAAGCGUUAAUUUUUAAAUUUCAGAAAAAAAUUAAAUGAGAAAAAAAUAAAAAAAAAAUACUUUUUGUUUUCUAAAAGUAUAACGAGAACAAAGUAAAGGACUUUAAGAAAUACAACAACAAAAACAAAGUGCAAAGUGAAACGAAUGAUCAAAGAGAAAAUCAUUAAAGAUAAAAGUUUUGAGCCUCCCCAAAAAGAAAAAAACCAUUCCUUAAAAUCCUCUCGACAUUUACAAAUACAAAUAAUUUUUUCUUUUGUAAAUGAGUGAGAUGCUGUAUGGAACUGCAAGAGUGUAAUUGACUUUUUGAACACAUAACAGGAAACAAAAAACAUAAAAACGGAAACAUUUCG